UGUUGAUGUGGUGUAGAUAUGUCGUUGGUUCGUUUUUAAUUCGAACGUAAACUGUACGAAGCGAGCACACACCCAUUGGGCGAAAGGGAAUCCGUGUUCCUAUUCCGGAACCCGGCAGCGGAACCGUUAAUAAUUCGGGCCCUCGCAAGAGAGUUCGUCGGGGCAACCCAAAAAGACCCGGAGACGCCGUCGGGAGAUCCGGGAAGAGUUUUCUUUUCUGCAUGAGCGUUCGAGUUCCAUGGAAUCCUCUAGCAGGGAGAUAUGGUUUGGAACGCGAAGAGCACCGCAGUUGCGGCGGUGUCCGGAUCUUCCCCUCGGACCUUGAAAAUCCGGGAGAGGGCCACGUCGAGGCAUCGCGCCGGUUCGUACCCAUAUCCGCAGCAGGUCUCCAAGGUGAAGAGCCUCUAGUCGAUAGAAUAAUGUAGGUAAGGGAAUUCGGCAAAUUGGAUCCGUAACUUUGGGAUAAGGUUGGCUCUGAGGAUCGGGGCGUGUCGGGCUUGGCGAGGAAGCGGGUCGCGGCUGACGUGCCGGGCCUGUGCGAGGUGAAGCGUUGUUCCGUUUCGGUGGUCAAUGUCGAAUCCGAGUUCGGUCCCGUGCCUUGGCCUCCCGCGGAACCGUCUUGCUGUGAGGCUCCGGGUGCGCCCGUCAGGGCGUCCGGAAGUCCUCUUCGGCCGCCAUUCAACGGUCAGCUCAGAACUGGCACGGACCGGGGGAAUCCGACUGUCUAAUUAAAACAAGCAUUGCGAUGGCCCCUGCGGGUGUUGACGCAAUGUGAUUUCUGCCCAGUGCUCUGAAUGUCAACGUGAAGAAAUUCAAGCAAGCGCGGGUAAACGGCGGGAGUAACUAUGACUCUCUUAGUCAUAAAGCCAGAACCUCCUCGUGGUCCCGCUGGGCACAGGGAUUAAUUUUUCUGUGGCAAAUUUGACUGGCAUUCAGAGAGCGUUUUUCGAAGUGGUUUGUGUGACUGCGUUCUCCUCUUAGUUGCUAUAUCCGUUUCGAUUAACAUCUCACCUCGAUGU
rnacentral:ncRNA from 1 species